rnacentral:rRNA from 1 species
CCCUUAGAUGUUCUGGGCCGCACGCGUGCUACACUGGUGCAUACAGCGAGUCUUAACCUUAACCGAAAUGGUUUGGGUAAUCUUGUGAAAGUUCAUCGUGACAGGGAUUGAUCAUUGCAAUUAUUGAUCAUGAACGAGGAAUUCCUAGUAAAGGCGAGUCAUCAUCUCGCUUUGAUUACGUCCCUGCCCUUUGUACACACCGCCCGUCGCUACUACCGAUUGAAUGGUUUAGUGAGAUCUCCGGAUUGGCUUCCUUGGUACCUUCGCGGGUCCAACGUGAAGCCGAGAAGCUGCUCAAACUUGAUCAUUUAGAGGAAGUAAAAGUCGUAACA